rnacentral:rRNA from 1 species
GAUGAACGCUAGCGGCAGGCCUAAUACAUGCAAGUCGAACGGGAUCCAGAUCAAAGCUUGCUUUGGUCUGGUGAGAGUGGCGCACGGGUGCGUAACGCGUGAGCAACCUACCCUUGUCAGGGGGAUAGCCCGGCGAAAGUCGGAUUAAUACCGCAUGACAUCAUUGAGAGGCAUCUUUCGAUGAUCAAAGAUUUAUCGGACAAGGAUGGGCUCGCGUGACAUUAGCUAGUUGGUAAGGUAACGGCUUACCAAGGCUGCGAUGUCUAGGGGCUCUGAGAGGAGAAUCCCCCACACUGGUACUGAGACACGGACCAGACUCCUACGGGAGGCAGCAGUAAGGAAUAUUGGUAAAUGGACGGAAGUCUGAACCAGCCAUGCCGCGUGCAGGAGGACGGCCCUAUGGGUUGUAAACUGCUUUUAUACGGGAACAAACGUCGGUACGGGUACCGGUCUGAGUGUACCGUAAGAAUAAGGAUCGGCUAACUCCGUG